rnacentral:lncRNA from 1 species
UGCCAAGUUUGGCUGAGACCAAUACCCUCUAACUCUAGCCAUUGCUUCCCCACUACCAGGCACUGAGAGAACAGGCUCCUUUUCGAGUAAACAGUGGGGAGACAUCAUGUUCCCAACAUUCUAAACUAAAGAGGACUCACUGAGGGGCCCAGCCAGUGGGAGGAGGCAGCCCAAAGCCUAGCCUGGCUUCCCACACCCCCAACCCUGCCAGUGCCCUGUGAGACCCUGACUACUCCACCCCCUCCAG